ACGCUCGACACCUACGGAGGCAGCAAUGGGGAAUAUUGGGCAAUGGGCGCAAGCCUGACCCAGCAACGCCGCGUGAAGGAAGAAGGCUUUCGGGUUGUAAACUUCUUUUAUCAGGGAAGAUGAAUGAGACUGUACCUGAUGAAUAAGCCACGGCUAACUACGUGCCUGCAGCCGCGGUAAUCUGAGCGGGCUGGCAAGGC
rnacentral:rRNA from 1 species